ACAAGAUAGAUAGAUAAAUAUUAAUGAUUAUCAUUAUUUUAUUUUUUAUUGUUUAACAGAAUUAUUCUGCAGUUAUUUGUGUGGGAUUGUAAGUCUAUCAACAGUAAGUCUGUCAUAUAAUCUGUAAAAUAUCUUCCGUGUAGCUCAGACAAAAGGAAAAGAACUCGGGCUUCCCUCGGAUCCAUCAGGACCAGUAGCCCUUUACAUUCAAGGCUCGCUAAAUCUUUAGGCAGCUUGCACGUAACGGCCUGUGAAAAGGAUCAGGUGUUUUCUGGCUCAGUGGCCAACAAUAAUUUCAUCAAGCAGUCAAACUUAAAGCACUUAAGCCCAGUGAACAGUCAGCCGCACGCGGCCCAGAGAUCACUGCAGCUCUAUGGCCUCGGCUCAUAACUCCAUCUCCAAAGCUCGAGUUCCUCUCCUCCGCUGAAACCCGCAGAGGAUCCAGUCAAGAACAACAUCUCUGCACUGAUUUCACUCGAGCGUUACUCCUUGUCUAAGCGAUCUACUAUAAACCAUAUUCAAACUGUGUUUACAGAGAAAUCAGCAGAUGUUAACCAUUUUUAUUUUGAUCAAGAGAAUGCAAUGAGUUUAUUUUUAAGCAUCUGUGAAGUUUGACUUUUUAUGCCAUUGUAAACAUCAUGAGUGUUGGAAGCUGCCUUUGCCAUUAUGCAUUGUUACUAAACCUGUAAUAUUGUUUUUUAAUACUGUAGUUAGUACUUUAUUAAUACUUACAGAAGUGUGACAGACUGUAAAUAACCCAAUGUGAAUCAUAUUGUGCUAAUCGUGACUGAAAGCUGUAUAUAGGCUGGAGUUUGAUAGACUAAAAGAACUGUUUGGUUUUUUUUUUUUUUUUUCUUUAAAUAAUUGAAAACUUUUUUU
ensembl:lncRNA